CAUGCCGAGUCCUGCUUGGUUUAGUCAGAGACAAUACAAUUGCACACAUAUUAACAAAGCUUCAGGUGAGCGACCAUUGUAUCUUUUGAUGAUCUUAGUUAAUGCAGCUUACUCAGUCAUGAAUUAAAGUUUUUGUGUAUAGUUUUUCUAAUAGUAUGUUGCUAUGUUUGCAUUGUCUACUUUGUGUAGUGUGACUUACAUCCUAAUAUGGGCCACGUAUAAUCAGAAUCCUUCCUAUCCUCAGUGCAAGCAUCCGUUUCAGUUUCUUAGUGUUCAUCGAUCACCAGAUGGAAGGUGCUCCUAUCAAUUUUAGAGAAGUUCUUCUCCAAGUUUCUGAACUUGCCUAAUGUAAAUAGGAGGUUGAGGAAGAUCAUCUCCAUUCUCUCAAGUGACCAGCCUCCCCGCCCUCAGCUGUAUCUGUACAGCACAACUGACAAGGUCAUUCCAGCUAGGUCGACAGAGUCUUUUAUUCAGGAGUAGAAGAAAUCUGGGAGAAAGGUGAAACUGAAUGCAAUGGUUAAGGACACAACUUUCUUGAGGGCAUCGCUCUCUGAUCAUCUCAAACCCGACUUCAAUCCUCUUAUCAUGAAGAGCAAGGAGACCAUUUCAAAGGAAAGAGACCUGCUUGUUUGCUACAUUUGCCGUCGCAAACACGGUAUAUGCAUAAAG